rnacentral:rRNA from 1 species
UACAGAGGGUGCAAGCGUUACUCGGAAUUACUGGGCGUAAAGGGUGCGUAGGUGGUUGAAUAAGUUAGGUGUGAAAGUCCUGGGCUUAACCUGGGGAUUGCGCCUAAUACUGUUUAGCUAGAGUACUGUAGAGGAAGGUGGAAUUUCCAGUGUAGCGGUGAAAUGCGUAGAUAUUGGAAGGAACAUCAGUGGCGAAGGCGACUUUCUGGACAGAUACUGACACUGAGGCACGAAAGCGUGGGGAGCAAACAGG